GGAAAACUGGCUGUGCAGAGAUCAUAUGGGAUGCAGCAGGAAGAUGUUGUCUAUGACGUCAGAGCCCUCACCAGACACUUAAUUUGAUGGCAACUUGAUCUUGGACUUCUCAGUCUCCAGAACUGUGAGCAAUAAAUUUCUGUUAUUUAUAAGUUAUCCAGUCUGAGGAAUUUUGGUAUAGCAGCCCAAAUGGACUAAGACAGUAGUAAAAUGUACCUAUGUUUUAUUUUAUAGCUUUGGAUUUUCUAUCCUGGAUUACAACAUUUUUCUGCCCUUGGCUUAUACAUAUUGUCUUCAGGAUAGUCUCUAAAUGUUUUAUUGCUUCAUUAUUUUACAUGUAAAUCUUUAGUCUACUUGGGAAAUAAUUUCAUAUAUUGUAGAAAAUCAUGUCCAAUAUAAUUAUUUUCCAUAUGAGUAGCGAGUGCCCCGACAUCAUAUAUUGAAAAGUGUAUUCUCUUACUUUGGGAGGCCGAAGCAGGCGGAUCCCUUGUGUCAGGAAUUUGAGACCAGCCUGACUAACAUGGUGAAACCCCAUCUCUAUUAAAAAAAAAUACAAAAAUUAGCUGGGUGUGGUGGUGGACACCUGUAAUCUCAGAUACUCAGGAGGCUGAGGCAGGAGAAUUGCUUGACCCUGGGAGGUGGAGGUUGCAGUGAGCAGAGAUCACACCACUGCACUCCGGCCUGGGCGACAGAGCGAGACUCCAUAGGCAACAACAACAACAACAAAAAGUGUAUUCUCUUCCAGCUGAACUGAAAUACCAAACAAAUGUUUAUAUGUAUCAGUAUAUAUUUGUGGAUUUUCUAUUCAGUUCUCUUAAUCUCACUGUCUCUUCUGGCUAAUGACCUAUUGGUUCAAUUACAAUAGUUUUAGAAUAGUUUGAAUCCUGGCAUGACGAAUGUCUUGCCAUUCUUUCUUUCUAUUUACUAAAUACUGUUUGGCUAUUAUCUAAAAGUUAUUUCUUUUUAUGAAAACUUUAAAUGCCACUUUAUGUAAUCAUAAAAAGCACUCUCUUGGGCUUUAACCAAAAUAUUCUUAUAUUUGUUAAUUUAGAAAGAUUUUAUAUUUUGUGAUCUCAAGUCUGCUAUCCAAAGAAAUGGCAUGCCUUUGGCUGGGAGUGGUGGCUCAUGCUGUAAUCCCAGCACUUUGGCUCACACCUGUAAUCCCAGCACUUUGGGAGGUCAACGUGGGUGGAUCAACUGACGUCAGGAGUUCAAGACCAGCCUGGCCAACCUGGUGAAACUUCGUUGAUAAGAAGGAGAUUACUGCUGCCCACGGGGAAAAAGGAGAACAGAAAUGGGAAAGCCGUAUUGAGAGGAUGUUUGAGAACUGUGAAAGACAGAAAGCAGA
rnacentral:lncRNA from 1 species